GAACGAACGCUGGCGGCGUGCUUAAUACAUGCAAGUCGAACGAGAAAGCCCGGCUUCGGUUGGGUGAGUAAAGUGGCGAACGGGUGAGUAACGCGUGGAUAAUCUGCCUAUACGUCUGGGAUACUCUUUCGAAAGAAAGCUUAAUACCGGAUAACAUUGUCGGGCGACAUCUCCUGACACUCAAAGACGGGGUAACCUGUCGCGAAUAGAUGAGUCCGCGUUUCAUUAGCUUGUUGGCGGGGUAACGGCCCACCAAGGCUACGAUGAAUAGCCGGCCUGAGAGGGUGAUCGGCCACACUGGGACUGAGAUACGGCCCAGACUCCUACGGGAGGCAGCAGUAGGGAAUAUUGCGCAAUGGACGAAAGUCUGACGCAGCAACGCCGCGUGGGUGAUGAAGGUCUUCGGAUUGUAAAACCCUGUCGGUGGGGAAGAACCGUGCAAGCGUAACUGCCUUGCACCUGACGGUACCCACAGAGGAAGUCCCGGCUAACUCCGUGCCAGCAGCCGCGGUAAUACGGAGGGGACAAGCGUUGUUCGGAUUUACUGGGCGUAAAGGGCGCGUAGGCGGGCCUUCAAGUCGGCUGUGAAAUCUCUGGGCUUAACCCAGAGUCUGCACUCGAUACUGUAGGUCUUGAGUACCGGAGAGGAUGAUAGAAUUCCAGGUGUAGCGGUGAAAUGCGUAGAUAUCUGGAAGAAUACCAGUAGCGAAGGCGGUCAUCUGGACGGAUACUGACGCUAAAGCGCGAAGGCUUGGGGAGCAAACAGGAUUAGAUACCCUGGUAGUCCAAGCGGUAAACUAUGGGCACUAGGUGUCGGAGGUAUCGACCCCUCCGGUGCCGCAGCUAACGCAUUAAGUGCCCCGCCUGGGGAGUACGAUCGCAAGAUUGAAACUCA
rnacentral:rRNA from 1 species